CAAGUACUCCCUCCGUCUGGAAAUACUUGUCAUCAAAAUGGAUAAAAAGGGAUGUAUCUAGAACUAAAAUAUGUCUAGAUACAUCCCCUUUUAUUCAUUUUGAUGACAAGUAUUUCCGGACGGAGGGAGUAAUAU
rnacentral:pre_miRNA from 1 species